CAGUAAUACUAAUCAUAGCUGCUAGCAUUGAUUAUGUGCCUGUUGUAUGCCAAGCCCAGUGCCAACUGCUUUCCAUACAACAUUACCUCAUGACCCGGUAGAGCGUGUACCAUCAUUGUUCCCAUUUAGAGAGGAGGAGGCCGACGCCCAGUGAGGCGGAGUGUCUAUGUGAGCAGAAGAGGAGGAGGUCAGAACUGGCAGAAGGUGGUUUGCAGGAGCUCUGAGGAGCAUCGCAGUGCUAGGUCCAGUUGGAGGCGUCCACAAAGGGCUCUGAUGCUUCGGGUUUGGGAGGCGUAGUUAGGGACAUCAUCAGGCAGAGGCAAGGCAGCGGCAGGGCCAGGACCCCAGCGACUUGACUGCCCAGAACCCUGGACAUGCUGGCUUCUGGCUCAGUUGUCAGCAGGACCCAGGUCUGCAACCUCCUUGCCAAUCACGGGCCUUGAACCCAGGACCAGGUACUGGGGCACCUCAGAAGGCCUUCACUGGGACCCGCCAUCCAACCGGUCACCAAAUCACAGGGACAGGGAUUUUGAAAGUUCCCUUUCAGAAUUUUAGGCCACCUAGAUCUUUUAUUUCUCCCUUCCCUUCCCUCUUCCCCUUGUCUGUGUGUGUGAAUAUACAGUGCACAAGCAUGUGUGUGCGCAUGUGUGUGUGUGUGGUAUGGGUGGGUGCAUAAACUGGACAGGGCCCAGCCAUUACCUGACAGAGCUGUCUCUCUGGCUCAGUUUCCCCAACAGCAAAGAGGUGUGUAAUCCCAGCUCCUUGCCUGUCUCCUCCAGGCUUGAUGAGGUCACCAGAAAUUCAACCCAGUUAUUCCGGGCUGCCCUCAGCCUCUCCCUUCCCCACCCUCCCCUCUUCCCAACUUUCAGUUUCUUUUCAGAUCCUCGGUGCCUUUGGGGAAGAGGUGGCCAAACCGAUGGAACAUGGAUUGCUUGCAACUUUCCAACCAAAAUCCCCCACUUAGGGGAAGUCCCUUUAAAAGGGAAACUGCAAGCCUCUCCUACUCCAGUGCCCAGUCCCACUCCUUCCUCUCCAUGCUGCUCAGGCCUGGCCCCAUCGCCUCUCCCAUUCGCUUCUUCCUCAGAUGAUCUGGACUCAAACUACGGCUGCCUUCCAGCUUCGUGACCUUGGACAAAUCCCUUCCCCUCGCUGAGCCUCAUAAUGGCCAUUCUGUAAAACGAGGACCCUGAGCGGCACUUCAGGUUGUGGCAAGGGUUCAGAGAGCCCAGAUCUCUCCAGAUCUCCAGCUGCCCUUGGAGAUCACCCAGACAUACAUCCUACAGAGACCUACAAGACACAGAAAAACAGGCCCAGGUGGACACAGAUUAGAGGGGACAGAGUUGGAAGCAAGAAAACCAGGGAAGAAUUGAUCAGACUGGCCCGGUGAAAGCAAUGGUGGCUUGAACUAGGCCAGGUCAGAGGACAGAGAAGGAGAAGAUGAAGUCCAGAG
rnacentral:lncRNA from 1 species